rnacentral:rRNA from 1 species
CCUACGGGGGGCAGCAGUGAGGAAUAUUGGUCAAUGGACGAGAGUCUGAACCAGCCAAGUAGCGUGAAGGAAGAAGGCUUUCGGGUUGUAAACUUCUUUUAUGAGGGACGAAAGAAAUGACGGUACCUCAUGAAUAAGCCACGGCUAACUACGUGCCAGCAGCCGCGGUAAUACGUAGGUGGCAAGCGUUAUCCGGAUUUACUGGGUGUAAAGGGCGUGUAGGCGGGACUGCAAGUCAGAUGUGAAAAUUAUGGGCUCAACCCAUAACCUGCAUUUGAAACUGUAGUUCUUGAGUGAUGGAGAGGCAGGCGGAAUUCCGUGUGUAGCGGUGAAAUGCGUAGAUAUACGGAGGAACACCAGUGGCGAAGGCGGCCUGCUGGACAUUAACUGACGCUGAGGCGCGAAAGCGUGGGGAGCAAACAGGAUUAGAUACCCCAGUAGUC